rnacentral:rRNA from 1 species
CCUACGGGAGGCAGCAGUGGGGAAUAUUGCACAAUGGGGGAAACCCUGAUGCAGCGACGCCGCGUGAGUGAAGAAGUAUUUCGGUAUGUAAAGCUCUAUCAGCAGGGAAGAAGAAAGACGGUACCUGACUAAGAAGCCCCGGCUAACUACGUGCCAGCAGCCGCGGUAAUACGUAGGGGGCAAGCGUUAUCCGGAUUUACUGGGUGUAAAGGGAGCGUAGACGGCUGUGCAAGUCUGAAGUGAAAGCCCAGGGCUCAACCCUGGGAUUGCUUUGGAAACUGUGGAGCUAGAGUGCUGGAGAGGUAAGUGGAAUUCCUAGUGUAGCGGUGAAAUGCGUAGAUAUUAGGAGGAACACCAGUGGCGAAGGCGGCUUGCUGGACUGUAACUGACACUGAGGCUCGAAAGCGUGGGGAGCAAACAGGAUUAGAUACCCGUGUAGUC